GUGAACGCUGGCGGUAGGCCUAACACAUGCAAGUCGAACGGCAGCACAGUAAGAGCUUGCUCUUACGGGUGGCGAGUGGCGGACGGGUGAGGAAUACAUCGGAAUCUACUUUUUCGUGGGGGAUAACGUAGGGAAACUUACGCUAAUACCGCAUACGACCUACGGGUGAAAGCAGGGGAUCUUCGGACCUUGCGCAAUUGAAUGAGCCGAUGUCGGAUUAGCUAGUUGGCGGGGUAAAGGCCCACCAAGGCGACGAUCCGUAGCUGGUCUGAGAGGAUGAUCAGCCACACUGGAACUGAGACACGGUCCAGACUCCUACGGGAGGCAGCAGUGGGGAAUAUUGGACAAUGGGCGCAAGCCUGAUCCAGCCAUACCGCGUGGGUGAAGAAGGCCUUCGGGUUGUAAAGCCCUUUUGUUGGGAAAGAAAAGCAGCAGGUUAAUACCCCGCUGUUCUGACGGUACCCAAAGAAUAAGCACCGGCUAACUUCGUG
rnacentral:rRNA from 1 species